UACAUAGGGAGCAAGCGUUAUCCGGAUUUAUUGGGUGUAAAGGGUGCGUAGACGGGAAAUUAAGUUAGUUGUGAAAUCCCUCGGCUUAACUGAGGAACUGCAACUAAAACUGAUUUUCUUGAGUACUGGAGAGGAAAGUGGAAUUCCUAGUGUAGCGGUGAAAUGCGUAGAUAUUAGGAGGAACACCAGUGGCGAAGGCGACUUUCUGGACAGUAACUGACGUUGAGGCACGAAGGCCAGGGGAGCGAAAGGG
rnacentral:rRNA from 1 species